GAUGAACGCUGGCGGCGUGCCUAAUACAUGCAAGUAGAACGCUGAAGGAAGGAGCUUGCUCUUUCCGGAUGAGUUGCGAACGGGUGAGUAACGCGUAGGUAACCUGCCUGGUAGCGGGGGAUAACUAUUGGAAACGAUAGCUAAUACCGCAUAACAGUAGAUGUUGCAUGAUAUCUACUUAAAAGGUGCAAUUGCACCACUACCAGAUGGACCUGCGCUGUAUUAGCUAGUUGGUGAGGUAACGGCUCACCAAGGCGACGAUACAUAGCCGGCCUGAGAGGGUGAUCGGCCACACUGGGACUGAGACACGGCCCAGACUCCUACGGGAGGCAGCAGUAGGGAAUCUUCGGCAAUGGACGGAAGUCUGACCGAGCAACGCCGCGUGAGUGAAGAAGGUUUUCGGAUCGUAAAGCUCUGUUGUAAGAGAAGAACGAGUGUGAGAGUGGAAAGUUCACACUGUGACGGUAGCUUACCAGAAAGGGACGGCUAACUACGUG
rnacentral:rRNA from 1 species